rnacentral:rRNA from 1 species
AGCCAGACUCCUACGGGAGGCAGCAGUGGGGGAUAUUGCACAAUGGGGGGAACCCUGAUGCAGCGACGCCGCGUGGGUGAAGGAGCGUUUCGGCGCGUAAAGCCCUAUCGGCAGGGAAGAAGGAGGACGGUACCUGACUAAGAAGCCCCGGCUAACUACGUGCCAGCAGCCGCGGUAAUACGUAGGGGGCAAGCGUUAUCCGGAUUUACUGGGUGGAAAGGGAGCGCAGACGGCAAUGCAAGCCUGGAGUGAAAGGCGGGGGCCCAACCCCCGGACUGCUCUGGGAACUGUAUAGCUAGAGUGCAGGAGAGGCAAGUGGAAUUCCUAGUGUAGCGGUGAAAUGCGUAGAUAUUAGGAGGAACACCAGUGGCGAAGGCGGCUUGCUGGACUGUAACUGACGUUGAGGCUCGAAAGCGUGGGGAGCAAACAGGAUUAGAUACCCCGGUAAA